CCUACGGGAGGCUGCAGUGAGGAAUAUUGGUCAAUGGCCGAGAGGCUGAACCAGCCAAGUCGCGUGAGGGAAGACGGCCCUACGGGUUGUAAACCUCUUUUGUCGGGGAGCAAAGCGAACCACGUGUGGUUCAUUGAGAGUACCCGAAGAAAAAGCAUCGGCUAACUCCGUGCCAGCAGCCGCGGUAAUACGGAGGAUGCGAGCGUUAUCCGGAUUUAUUGGGUUUAAAGGGUGCGUAGGCGGGUUAUCAAGUCAGCGGUAAAAUCGUGGAGCUCAACUCCAUCCAGCCGUUGAAACUGAUGAUCUUGAGUGAGCGAGAGGUAUGGGGAAUGCGUGGUGUAGCGGUGAAAUGCAUAGAUAUCACGAAGAACUCCGAUUGCGAAGGCAGCAUACCGGCGAUCAACUGACGCUCAUGCACGAAAGUGUGGGUAUCGAACAGGAUUAGAUACCCUAGUAGUC
rnacentral:rRNA from 1 species